AACUUAUAAUAACUCUGGCAUUGUAUAUGAAUAAAGAUGAAACUAUUCGAGUUAUAUUUUUACGAUGAACCCAUGUGACUUGUGCACACACGUGUAUGUAUACUGUAGAACCCAAUUUUGCCCAGACCCGGACCCAAGAACCAAAACCAAUUAACUCACCCAACUAGCCUAACCCGGAACCCAAUUACAAACAGACCCAAUUACCAUUAACCUAACCUACCCAACCCAUUACAGAACAGGCCCAAACCCGAGGCCCAAUGUCUUAGCCCAGUAAGCUAACAGCCAAAACUAGGGUUUCAGAAAGUCUGAAACCCUAGCGCUGCACCUAGUACUGCCGCCGCAUGUCCCAUCGGCCACUUGCCCCAGACCUACCGCCACUCCUCUGGUAGCCACCAACUCCACCGCCAUCAUCACAUCACCUGCAAAGAAGAUGGCAAACACGCAAGCAGAAACGAAGAAAAAAUCUAUUUUUCUCUUCUUUCUUUCGGCUAUAAAAGCCAUCAAAAUAUGUAAUUUUGGGGGUUUUUUUUUUCUAGCGAUUUUUGUAACACAAAAACGAACAUUAGCAGAGAAAUAUAAGAACAAAAGAGAUUCAAGGUGAUUUGGAGUUUCCUUUUCCGUUCAUAGAUGUUUUAACUUUUUAUUUAUUUGUAUUUUCUUUUUUUUCGUCUAUUUAUAUAUNNNNNNNNNNNNNNNNNNNNNNNNNNNNNNNNNNNNNNNNNNNNNNNNNNNNNNNNNNNNNNNNNNNNNNNNNNNNNNNNNNNNNNNNNNNNNNNNNNNNCACCUGAUUCGUUUUUUCGGUUGCGCCGCCGUUGGGAUCUGCCCAUCGUUGAAAUCGGCCUCGAAAGUCUGAGUUAGGGGGUCUCUCCUUUGGAUCUUUCGGUUAGACGAAUUUUGCCUUCAAUCGGGCCUUGGAGUGAGAACUAAAUCGCCCUCUUGCGCGAGGUCGGCCACCGCCCGUGGUGGCGCAACGGCGGCGCUGGUAUGGCUCAAAGGCCUGGCUUUUGAGAGGAAAUGUGGGGUUUUUUUUAGGGGAUCAGUUAACAUGAAUUUUUUCAGAAAAAUUGGGUUUAAAUACCCAAAUUGAAACGGCGCCGUUUAAGACAGGGGAUCCGCGUGUCGACCCGACCCGACCCGGAGGAUCCGCGUGUUUUUUAGUUUUUGGACUAUUUGCGCGCGCAGUCCCCCUGAUUUUGCAGCGUGNNNNNNNNNNNNNNNNNNNNNNNNNNNNNNNNNNNNNNNNNNNNNNNNNNNNNNNNNNNNNNNNNNNNNNNNNNNNNNNNNNNNNNNNNNNNNNNNNNNNCUUUUUUUCGUUAUUUUCUCUUAUUUUUAAUUUAGCCCCUGCAAUUUCAUUUUGUUCCGACUUGGCCCAUUUCAACGCUGCGUUUUGGGCCUGUGGUUUAUUUGCAGUUUUGGCCUUUCCCUUUUCAGCACGCGUUGCAAUUUGGUCCUUUUUGUUUUUUUAUUUCGAUUUCGCCCAGCACUUCCGUUUUUAUUCUGAUUUAAUCCAUAUUUUAGCAAUUUUAUUAUUAUUAUUAUUAUUAUUAUUAUUAUUAUUAUUAUUGUUAUUAUUAUUAUUAUAAUUGUUUUUAUGCAUAUGCGUAUUUUUUUUAACUUAUUUAAUAUGUAAACACUCAUUUUUAUAUACAUAUCUAUCUAUCUAUCUAUAUAUAUAAUUAAAACAUGUAUAUUAUAUAUAUUAUUAUUUCAUAUCUAUUUUUUUUAUUUUUUAAAAUACGUAUAUUAUAUAUUAUCUUAUUUUAUUUUUAUAAUCCACAUAUGUAUAUUUUUUAUCUACAUACAUAUCUUCUUAUGUUUUGUAAUAUUUAUGCCUUUCUUAAUAUAUAUAUGUACAUAUUUUAACCUUUGUAAAUACAUAUAUAUAUAUAUAUUUAUAUAUAUACAUAUAUUUUAAUUUUUGCCUAUAUAUAUCUUUAUAUUUAAUCGUAUUUACUAUUUAUUUGUUUCAUUUUCAUUUUUAUUUUGAAUAAAUGUUUUAAUUUCAUUUGUUUUUAUACUUUGUUAUUUUUAUGUUGUAGAUUUGGCCUUUUUAUAUCGUUGUUAUUGCUCGUAUUUUUUAUACUUUUUAUACUUUCAUAUUCAUUAUGGUUUUACCAUGCAUAAAAAAAUGUAAUUUGCUUUCGUAUUUUUUGUUACGGUUUUCGUGUUUUUUAUUAUACUCGAUUUAACAAAAUUUGUUUUGAAUAAAUAAUAUUUCGUGUUUAGAUUCGAGAAGGUCGUACCCUAACUUACUGGGUUUCGAUUUUCACGAUAAAUCUAAAUGUACGAAUCUUUUUGAACUCAAAUUUUAAAUGAUCUCGGGGUUAAAAAAAAAUCGCGUCCUAACUUACUGGUCGUGAUCUCGUUUAAAUCCGAAAGGGCUAAAAUUUUUAAAUAAACAUUUUUCAUUCGCGUAUCGAGAAUUCGAGACAUCGUGUUCUAACUUACUGGAUAUGACUCUCUUUCUCGAAUAACGUGAAAUAUGCUUCUUUUUAAAAUUUUUUUUAUAAUACAAGGAUCGUAUUUUUAAUUCCUUCAAGUUCUCAAUUUUCGACAUCAAAACAUUAGCUAAUCAACUAGGUACCAAUUUUGGGCGUAUCGAGGGUGCUAAUCCUUCCUCGUGCGUAACCGACUCCCGUACCCGUUUUCUAAAUUUCGUAGACUAAAACCGUUGUUUUAAUAAAAAUCAAAUUAUUUAUUAAAAACAUCCUUUUUCAAGGUGACCCAAUCACACCUCAAAAAGGAUUGGUGGCGACUCCCGUUUCUUUUUUAAAAAAACCAAGUCGACCCCGUUUUCCGUCAAAAAAAAUGGUGUCAACAGCUUGGCGACUCCACUGGGGAAUUUUUCAAAAUAAGUGAGUCAAGCCACGAGUUGAUUACUUUUUGUUUUUUUGUCGAAAUUUGAAAACUUGAUUUAAAUAUACGAUCCUUUCAUUGCAUUUCAUUCGUUUGUAUUAUAAUUGUCAUUGUUGUGGUUUAUAAUUGUUGUGGUGGUUUAAAUUUUGGUAUCUUUUUGCACAUUGCAUUGCAUGACCGUUGGUCACACCUUUUAAGUGGAAGUGAGAAGCUACUCCUUCGUGAGGUUUUCACCUCCGUGCAGGAUAGUGGAUCACUUUCGGGAUACAUCUGUACCUAUGUCUUCGUGAGAUUUUCAUCUCCGUGCAGCCAUAGGGAAAUGUAUUCCCCUGAACUGAACUCGGUCUGUAUGAGUCUAUAAUGGGUGAAGAUCGAGGAAUCUGCUGGUUCGGGUACCCUAUCUUUAGAGCCAAACCUCAUGUAGUGAACCUUAGGACCUUACCCUAGGUAGAGCCACUCCAAACCCUAGUGGAAACACCGAUAUAUGCUUUUAUUCUUUCUGCAUUGUUUUGAAUUGUAUGUUUAUACCUGAUACUAACGUUUGCUGUUUUAUUUUGGAUGCAUGACAUUUCAACUGCAUGGCAUUUCAUUAUAAAAGACGUUGGUUCAUAUUCGGUUUCUAGAAAGAAAGCUUAUCAUGGAAAAGGGAUUUCUUGAUAAGGUGGAAGAUAAUGCGGCGGUCCGAAUUUGGUCAGAAACGACACAACGAGAGAAAGGGGAUAGUUUGGCUGAAGGAUAUGAAUCUGAGUUAUGGGACUUCACCCGUAUUAGCGUAACCCAGAACAAUUUGCAAGAAUUGAAAGAAAUUUGGGGCCAGUGGAACGAGGAGGACAGACGAUUGUUCUAUUCCGAUUAUGGGGAUUUGCCGUACUUGCUAGAUAUGAAGGUAGACAAGCACCUGUUUCGGGCUCUCGCGCAAUUUUGGAACCCCGCCUACAGUUGUUUUACGUUCGGAAAAGUCGACUUAGUACCUACGAUAGAAGAAUAUAUGGCUUUACUUCGGUGUUCGAAGAGUCAAGUCGAUAAAAUCUACUCAAGAGCUGCAAAUGCACCCUUUUUGAGAAGAUUGAUGAACAUAACAGGCAUGAGUGAGCAGUGGGUCACAGCCCGAAUCAAACAAAAAGGGGAUAACAAAUGUAUUUCUUGGAGGAAUUUGAAAGAUGUGGUCCUAGUGCAUCCAGAUUUACAAAAGAGAGUAGAUGUAUUCGCUUUGUGCCUAUACGGCUUAGUUAUCUUUCCCAAAGCUUUGGGGCAUAUUGAUGAGGCAGUCACUGAUCUAUUUGACCGUCUCGACAAGGGAGUUACUCCGAUUCCAGCAAUUUUAGCAGAAACAUUCAGAUCAUUGAAUGCCUGUCGACGAGCGGGUGAAGGCAGAUUCGUUGGAUGUGUACAGUUGUUACUUGCGUGGUUCCACAGUCAUUUUUGGAAAGUGGAUAAGGUGUCAUAUCGGGUCUUCUCUGAAAACUAUUCGCCACUAAAGGAGAUAGUAGGUACACCGAGAAGAGAUGAUAUUUCGAUGGAAAAAUGGAUGGCAAUUCUUCAGACCUUGCAAGAAGAGGACAUUGAAUGGAGAGCUCCGUGUUUACUUCCAGACGAAAUUUUGUAUCGGUGUGGUGAUUUUGAUUGGGUCCCCCUACUUGGAAUCUGGGGAGCUAUUGGAUAUGCCCCGUUAUUAGUGCUCAGACAAUACCGGUCAAGACAGUUUAUACCCGCAACCCAGGGACUAGCCGUGUGUGAAUUCGCGUAUGGGGGUGAUGGUUACAAAAAGAAGAUUCGAGAGAUAUCCAAUGCGUGGAACCAAACUCGACGGAUGAAGAGGUUGGCUGUAGGACCGAUGACGACUCCUGAGUACGAUGAAUGGAGGGUCAGAAGAAUCAAUGACAAUAUUCCCAAAUCGAGUCAUGAAGGCAGUCAGUCAUUAGAAGAACAUUUAAAGGUCGUCCCUUCUGAACUGGAAAUUUUAAAACAGGAUUUCGAAAGAAGAACUGCAGAGUUGGAAAAACAGAUAGAGCAAAUGGAAGAGGAAAAGAUGAACUUAAGAUUGGACGCAGACGUUCAGAAGCUCGAGGCUGAACGAUUAAAAAAGGGGAAAGCUAGGGCUGAAGAAGAUCUUGAUAGUUUGAAAAUAGAUUAUAAGAAGUUGCGAUUAUCAAUAAGGACUGCCGGGUUGGGAAAAUCUUCUGAACAGUGGCGCAAAGAGAUUCAAGAAGAAAAGAAUAAGGCUGAUGAAUGGGAAAGGAGGUUCCAAGAAAUUCAAGCACAGAACGAGACUUUAAAGAGGAGUUUGUCGGAGAAUCAGAAAGAGAAAGGGGAGCUGGAGAAUAGAGUGACUGAAUUAGAAGGAUCUCUUCAUCGGCAUCGAAAUCGGAAUUCUGUGAUGGAAUUGAGGGCAAGCUUAAAUAGAAUUGAAGAAAUGAAGGAAAGAAUUGAAGGGUUAGAAGCAGCAUUGCGAAAUUGCGAGAUUCAGAUUGAGUACUUGGAAUCUAAUGAAGAUCGUCAAGCCAAGCAGUUGCACUACUUUCAGAACCAAGUAAGAGAUAGGGAUCACAUUAUGGGAGAAGCCGUGCUUCAAAUCAGAGAGGUGGCUGACCAUUUGCAGACGUUAGCAGUACAAGCUGAUGUGUUGAGCGUGAAGUACGAAUUAGAGUCAAGUCAAGGACAAGAGUUAGCCUCGUUACUUAAGAAAAUUAGAGUUUUGGGUAUUAGGGCUAAGUCGUAUCUGUAAUCCACCUUAUGUAAAGAAGUUUGUUUUCUAAUAAAGUUUUCAGAAUGGAAUUGAAUUAGAAUCAACGUCCCUUUUUUGCAUUCAUUUCAUGCAUUGCAUCACAUUAUAUGCAUUAACAACCAUUAAAGGACCCUAAUUGAAUAAAAUUAUUUCAGCUAACCUGGAAAAUCGACAUUGUUACGGCACCCGGGCUAAGUCAAAAAUAAUGGAACAAAGGUUGGAAAAACUAGAACGGCUUCAAAAGGAAAUGCAAGACCAGUUGCAAGCGCAAAUGAAAGAACAGGUGGAAAAGAUCGAGAAAGACAUGGUACAAAAGAUGAAGGAAUCUCAAGAUGACCUAAUGAUUAAAUUGACGCAAUUAAUAAAGGGAACGGAUAAAGGGAAAAGUCCUGUAAUUUGCGAUGAAGAAGGGAACAAUGAUGAACCACUUUUUCCUCCAGGAUUCACGCCUCCGCAUGCGCAAAUUCAGAUUGAAACACAUACACGAAAACCUUCUGUUUCGAUUAAGCCUCAGCAUUGUCAAGGUGAUGCUUCAAUAUCGAAGAACCUUCAGGUCGGAUAUGGUUCUGGUCUUGGUGAUAAUCUGGUUGUCCCGGAUUUCGAUGAAGUAGCGGAGAAAGACAAGAUGAAGGAAGAGUUACCAAAGCAGUUUGAGGAGAAAUGGAAAUGGAUUGAAGAAAAGUUUAGGGCGAUAGAAAGUAUCGACAGCUAUCGUGGAAUAGACGCGAAAGAUCUGAGCUUAGUUCCGGAUUUGGUGCUUCCUUACAAAUUUAAGAUGCCGGAAUUCGAAAAAUACAAUGGAACUAGUUGCCCUGAGGCUCACCUUGCUAUGUUCUGCAGGAGAAUGACGGGGUAUAUUAAUAAUGAUCAAUUAUUAAUACACUGCUUUCAGGAUAGUCUUACAGGCGCGGCGUUAAAAUAGUACAAUCAGCUAAGCCGAUCUAAAAUUGCUACUUGGAGAGAUUUGGCACAGGCAUUCAUGAAACAAUACGAUCAUGUCUCAAAAAUGAUGCCAGACAGGAUAACUCUGCAGAAUUUGGAGAAGAAAUCAAACGAGAGCUUUAGACAGUAUGCACAAAGGUGGAGAGAAAUGGCAGUGCAGGUGCAACCACCUCUUUUGGAGAAAGAAAUGACGACGCUUUUUAUUAAUACAUUGAAAGCCCCAUUCAUCACUCACAUGUUGGGAAGCGCUUCAAAGAAUUUCUCGGAUAUAAUCAUGAGCGGCGAAAUGAUCGAGCAUGUUAUUAAAAGUGGAAGAAUAGACGGAGGGGAGAACAAUAAAAGGACAGCCCCGAGGAAAAGAGAAAAUGAAGUGAAUAAUGUGAAUGCUUACAGUAAAUCAAUUACUGUAAGUCAACCAAGGAAAGUGGUCACUAAUCAACAGGGCUCAUCGAAGCAAGAGUCGGGAAUGAGGGAAAAUACUGAGAAGCCCCAGUUCACUCCCAUUCCAAUGACAUAUAAGGAGCUGUACCAGAAUUUAUUUAAUGCGCAUGUUGUCGCUCCUCGUUACUUGAGUCCUCUACAACCCCCAUAUCCAAAAUGGUAUGACACAAACGCUCAGUGUGACUAUCAUGUCGGAAUUUCAGGACACUCAAUAGAAAAUUGUACUGCUUUCAAGAAGGUAGUGGAAGGACUUAUCAAAUUGGGCGUUGUCAAAUUUGGUGAUUCACCUAACACGGAAAGUCCGUUGCCCAAUCAUGAUGAAGGAGUGAACGCGAUAAUUGAGAAUGGAGGAAGGAGAGUCAAAGCCAAUGUAGUAGAGAUAAGGACCCCCCUUGAAUGGAUUUGGAAGCAAAUGGUGAAAGGGGGUCGCAUCAAGCAAGAUUCAAUAGAAAGGCCUGAAGGAGCAAGUAAGUUUUGUGAGUUCCACGCAGAAGAAGGCCACGACAUCCAAAAAUGUACCGAAUUCAGAACCAUGGUGCAAAACUUAAUGGAUAACAAAGAGUUGGAGUUUUACGAAGAGAUUAAUGAACUAGAAGAAUGAGAAGUUUAUGCUGCAGAAGAAGGAUCCACGGGGAAAGUCCAAAAGGCUAGCCACCCAGUGGUAAUUAUUUCAAAACCAAUGAGCAGAGAAUCUGGAAUUCAAAUAGCGCCAAAGAUCAUAAUCCAAAAACCUGUAUCCUUUCCUUACAAGGAUAGCAAAAAGGUUCCUUGGAAUUACGACUGCAAUGUGACAAUUUCAGGGAAAGAAAGCUUGGUAAACGCUUCAGGAGAAGAUGAAGGAUUCUAUACACGAAGUGGAAAACGCUAUGAUCCGGCAAACGCGAGAGUGGAAUCCGGAAAAGGAAAAGCCUUAGCGGUUGAGUUGGGAAAAGCAAAAACAGACAAAAUUAAACCGCGAGUCAAUCAGCCGGUAACUGAAAAUGAGGCUAGAAAAUUUCUAAAAUUCUUGAAACAUAGCGAGUACAGCGUGGUAGAACAAUUGCAUAAACAACCGGCUCGUAUCUCGGUGCUCGAUUUGUUUAUAAGUUCGGAGAUACAUCGUAAUGCGUUAAUUAAGGUGCUAAAUGAAACUUAUGUCGCUCAUGAUAUCUCAGUGAAUAGGUUGGACCGCUUGGUUAACAAUAUCAGUGCCGACAAUUUCAUUUUCUUUAAUGAUGAUGAAAUACCGCCGGGGGGAAGAGGAGCCACCAAAGCAUUACAUAUCACUGCUCGUUGCGGGGAGUAUGCGUUAGCAGGAGUGCUAAUUGAUAAUGGGUCAGCCUUGAAUGUUUUACCCCUAUCCACCUUAAAUAGGUUACCAGUGGAUAGCUCUCACAUGAAAUCAUGCCAGAAUAUAGUGAGAGCAUUUGAUGGUACUGAAAGGAAGGUAAUGGGAAGAAUAGAAAUACCCCUCUUGAUUGGCCCGAAUAUAUACGAGGUGGAUUUUUUAGUGAUGGAUAUCAAGCCUUCGUAUAACUGCUUGUUAGGAAGACCCUGGAUUCAUUCAGCAGGAGCGGUGCCUUCAUCAUUACACCAGAAGUUGAAAUUGGUAGCAGAAGGACGGUUAAUUACGAUUGACGCUGAGGAAGAUAUCAUUGCAUCGGUAACCAGUGACGCACCAUAUUUGGGAACAGAUGAUGAGGCGGUUGAAUGUUCAUUUCGAUCCUUAGAGUUCGUAAAUGCAACCUCUGUUAUUGAAGAAAAGAAGAUCCUGAUGCCCAGCAUAUCUAGGGCCACGAGGAUGGGGCUACAAAUGACAGUUGGGAAAGGAGCUAUGCUCGGAAAAGGACUGGGAAGAUGCCUUCAAGGAAUGAUAGAGGCACCAGUGCUGAAGGACAAGCAAUACCGUUUUGGUUUAGGAUUUAAACCAAAUGCUAAGCAAAGAAGAAAUGAGUUGGAGAAAAGACAAGAGUGGAGGAAGGCACGUGUGAACGGAAAAGAAGUUAAUUGGGAACCGAUGGCUUUCCCCCACAUAUCCAAGACCUUUGUAUCGGGAGGAACCAUGUAUUCUGGACUGAGGACUCCAAGAAGGGAGAUCACAGAGGAAAUGCUAGGAAACUUGAACAUCAAUGCCAUAUCGGAAGAAAAAUCUGAAGAAGGAAGUACAUCAGGCAUCUAUCCCAUUGAACCUGGGAGUGUUUUAAACAAUUGGACUGCAGAAGAAAUGCCUGAAGUUUUUAGAGCUUUUUCAGAGUAAUAUUCAAAACAUGCUAAUUGUUAUAAGCUUAGAGAAAAUGAAACUUUUUGUGAAAUGAAAGGGGCUUAUAUUUGAACAUUGUGAUUUCAAUGAAAUAUAUUUUCGCAUUUUGAGUAUAUAUUCUUUUAUAAUUCUUUACAUUCUUUCACAUGAAUAGUCAUCUUGGAUGCCUUCAUUCCUGAUCAUUCUUUCAUUCAUUCAUGACCAUAUUAAAUAAGAAUUCUUAAAUUCAUACAUUCCCUGUACAUUUUUCGGUAUUUAUAACAGGUCUCAAGAUAUCAAUGACAUGAGUGACUCUACUAUGGACUUGGGAAAUCCUUUUGAUCGAGAUGUGUGUUUAGAGGAAUCUCAAGAUUUUGAAGAUAACACAGAUUGCAACCUAUCUCCGGACUUGUUGAGGAUGGUAGAGCAAGAAGAGAAACAAAUCCUACCUCACAAGGAGACAGUAGAGACAGUGACCCUAGAAGAGGGAAAGGUGGUGAAGAUUGGCACAUGCAUAGCUGAAGAAGUAAAACAAGACCUCAUUGAGUUGCUUCGAGAAUUCAAAGAUGUUUUCGCAUGGUCAUAUCAAGAUAUGCCGGGGCUAAGUACUGACAUUGUAGUACACCGACUUCCUAUAAAGGAAAAUUGCAAACCAGUUCAGCAAAAACUCCGAAGAAUGAGGCCAGAUGUUGUAUUAAAAAUAAAAGAGGAGGUGCAAAAGCAAUUCGACGCUGGAUUCCUGCAAGUGGUCAAAUACUCCGAGUGGGUGGCCAAUAUCGUUCCUGUCCCUAAGAAAGAUGGGAAGGUACGAAUGUGUGUAGAUUAUAGAGAUCUAAAUAAGGCUAGCCCAAAAGAUAACUUUCCCUUGCCGCACAUUGACACCUUGGUAGACAACACAGCGGGGCAUUCACUAUUUUCUUUCAUGGAUGGUUUCUCUGGAUAUAACCAAAUUAAGAUGCAUCCUGAGGAUAUGAAGAAAACUACAUUCAUAACCCUAUGGGGAACCUUUUGCUAUAAAGUGAUGCCAUUUGGGUUGAAAAAUGCAGGGCAACGUAUCAGAGGGCCAUGGUAACACUGUUUCAUGAUAUGAUGCAUAAGGAGUUGGAAGUCUAUGUUGAUGACAUGAUUGCGAAAUCUAAAACAGAAGAGGAACAUGUGCAGGUCCUUAAGAAAUUAUUUAUGAGGUUGAGAAAAUUUCAGCUAAAGUUAAAUCCAGCAAAAUGCACAUUUGGGGCCAGAUCAGGAAAAUUGCUUGGGUUUGUGGUCAGUGAGAGAGGAAUCGAGAUUGAUCCUGACAAAGUAAGAGCAAUACAAGAGUUACCUUCGCCGCGUACUCAAAAAGAGGUUCGAGGUUUUCUAGGAAGACUGAACUACAUCGCUCGGUUUAUUUCACAAUUAACCGAGAAAUGUGAUCCUAUAUUCCGUCUCCUUAAGAAACAUAAUCCAGGUGUAUGGGAUGAGGAGUGCCAAAAAACUUUUGNNNNNNNNNNNNNNNNNNNNNNNNNNNNNNNNNNNNNNNNNNNNNNNNNNNNNNNNNNNNNNNNNNNNNNNNNNNNNNNNNNNNNNNNNNNNNNNNNNNNNNNNNNNNNNNNNNNNNNNNNNNNNNNNNNNNNNNNNNNNNNNNNNNNNNNNNNNNNNNNNNNNNNNNNNNCCGAAUGCUAAACAAGAUGUUGUGCCCUGAUCUGGACAACUCGGAGACUGAGACAGUACAUGUUGUACCAUACCACCUGGUUAAUUUCUAAAUUGGACCCUCUGAAAUACUUGAUGGAAUCAACUGCUUUGAAUGGAAGAAUGGCCCGAUGGCAAAUUCUCCUAUCUAAAUUUGACAUAGUCUAUGUGAACCAGAAGGCUGUAAAAGGGAGUGCAAUAGCGGACUUCCUGGCAAGUAGGGCUCUGGAUGAUUAUGAGCCAUUGAACUUCGAUUUCCCAAAUGAGGAUUUGAUGUAUAUCGUAACUGUAGAGAAAGAUUUCCAAGAAGGUGGUCAUUGGAAGUUGAGUUUUGACGGAGCUUCAAAUGCUAUAGGCAACGGAAUUGGGGCAGUACUCGUGUCCCCUAGUGGAGAUCAUUACCCUUUUACUAGCAAAUUGGAUUUUGAUUGUACAAAUAACAUGGUUGAGUAUGAAGCUUGCAUUAUGGGCAUCCGAGCAGCCAUAGAAUGGAAAAUUAAGGUGCUAGAGAUAUUCAGGGACUCUACAUUAGUAAUUUACCAGCUCAAAGGGGAAUGGGAAACAAGAGACCCCAAGUUAGUCCGCUAUCGAAAAUUGGUUAUGGAAUUGAUUGAGGAAUUUGAUAGUGUCACCUUUAGUUAUCUCCCACGAGAUGAGAACCAGAUGGCUGAUGCUUUGGCUACCUUGGCAUCUAUGUUCAAAGUGAACAAGCUAGAGGAUAUGAAGCCUAUCCAGAUCAGCAUUUAUGAGGCUCCAGCCCAUUGUUGCAACAUCGACAAUGAAGGAGAAAAGGAUAAUCGCCCCUGGUACCAUGACAUAUUACGAUAUGUGAAGAGUCGUGAGUACCCUGACCAUGCGACGGAAAAUGAUAAGAAGACAUUGAGGAGAUUAGCCAUCGAUUAUGUCUUGGAUGGGGAUAUCUUGUAUAAAAGAGGAAAAGAUCAAGUAUUGUUGAGAUGUGUGGAUGCUGUCGAAGCUAAAGAAAUUUUGGAAGAAGUGCAUGAAGGUAUCUGUGGAACGCAUGCCAAUGGCUUCACGAUGGCCAGACAAAUUAUGAGAUUUGGGUACUAUUGGUCCACAAUGGAAGGGGAUUGCAUUAAUUAUGCCAAAAAGUGCCAUAAAUGUCAAAUCUAUGGUGACAAAAUGCACACACCACCGUCACCUCUUCAUGUUAUGGUUUCUCCAUGGCCUUUCUCCAUGUGGGGAAUGAAUGUUAUCGGGCCAAUAUCUCCGAAGGCUUCUAAUGGGCAUCGUUUUAUCUUUGUGGUUAUUGAUUACUUCACUAAAUGGGUGGAGGUUGCUUCGUAUGCAAAUGUCACGAAGUCAGCAGUUAGCAAGUUUCUGAAAAAAGAGAUCAUAUGUCGAUACGGGAUGCCUGAAAGGAUUAUAUCAGAUAAUGCACUAAACUUGAACAACAACUCAAUAGCGGAAGUUUGUAGUCAGUUCAAGAUCAAACACCACAAUUCGUCACCGUACCGUCCAAAAAUGAAUGGUGCCGUGGAAGCAGCUAACAAAAAUAUCAAGAAAAUUGUAGGGAAAAUGACUGAAACCUACAAGGACUGGCACGAGAAAUUACCUUUUGCCCUUCUGGCAUAUCGUACCUCUGUUAGGACCUCUACGGGGGCAACGCCGUUUUCUUUAGUCUAUGGGAUGGAGGCAGUUUUACCCAUAGAAGUUGAAAUUCCUUCUCUUCGAGUAUUAGCUGAACUAAAGUUGGAUGAGGCUGAAUGGAUUCAAUCUCGAUAUGACCAGCUGAACUUGGUAGAAGAAAAGAGGUUAAAAGCUAUUCGUCAUGGUCAGAUGUAUCAGAAACGAAUGAUGCGAGCCUAUAACAAAAAAGUUUGUCCCAGAGAAUUUUACGAGGGGGACUUGGUGUUGAAAAAGAUUCUUCCUCUACAAAAGGAUUUUAGAGGAAAAUGGAUGCCAAAUUGGGAAGGUCCAUAUGUGGUAAAAAAGGCUUUUUCAGGAGGGGCUUUAAUCUUAAGCGAAAUGGAUGGUAAAAGCCUGCCAAAUCUUGUGAACUCAGACUCAGUCAAGAAAUAUUUCACUUAAAAUUUGAAGGUCCAAAAAAAAAAACAAAACAAAACAAAACAAAAACAAAAAAAAAAGGGAAGGAGAGGCCAAGGUGAAAACCCGUAAAAAGGCGCUUUGAGACCAAAGGGGAUUUGAGUUGAAAACCUGAAAAAGGCGGCUCAAAUUUGGAUGAGGCAUGAGGUGAACAGAACAACUCAAAUUUUGAUCAAAAUCUGGGGCAUAUGGUGGUCUCGCUAUACUUGAAUCACAAGAAAGGGUAGGCGACAUCUUGGGGUAUCGACAAAAUACUGUAGAUUCCCUAAACACAUAUUAAAUGGUAAAAAAAAAACUUAUGCAGGGAAACUCGUGCUGCAAUAUCUGGGGCACCUGUUGUUAUCUUAUAUUUUGAAUUUUGGUAAAAUUUGUUGUCUUGAUUGAUGUAUUCAUUUCAAGCUUUGUCCCCAAUAAAAUUUCAUUUUGUUUAUUUUUCGUCCUAUCUUAGGAAAAUUUGUUAACUCAUUCAUUUCGAGAUUUGUUCUCAAUAUCAUUUUGUUUGUCCAUUGUGAUAAUUUCUUGGAAUAACGAUUAAUGGACUGAAUGUUCAGGCCAAAUGAGCUUUGCAUAUUACUCUAGAAAUUUCUAAAUAAUGAAGGAACCUGAAACAGGACCGUUGUUUAGAACACACCAAAUUUGAAAUGUCUAAAAGGAAAAAGUCUAAAUCAGGACUAUCCUUUUAAACUUUGUUGUCCAAACGUGGAUAAAACAAAAUGACAAAGGUCGUGUUAGGUGACAAGGCUUCAGUGAACAAACAAGCAAUAAUCACCGAGUGAUAAGGAAGAGGUUACCUCGGAGAAGAGAGCCUUCAUUUGCGUAUAAGUCUUUGGUAUGACACCCUGAGAAUGGUGUAGGAAACCAGAACGGUUCAGAUCCUAUAUCCUCGAAUUAUGAUAAAAGAAGACGGAGGAAAAGCCAUAUCUUUCUACCCUUGGGUUACAAUGGGAGUUUGAUGGUACAAAUUUCAUGUCCCAGUGGAUUGAACUUUGACGUUCACAAUGGGGGACAACUUGGCUAAGUGUUCCUUUAGAAAAGUUAGUCAAGCAAGAAGGUGCUGUAACACAUCAGUCACAAAACCUUGAUAAACUUCGAGUAGUGAUAACCUAAGCGAGAUCAUUCACGAAAAAUAAAAUUCUGCAUUCAUGCAAACACCAUUCACACAUGUCUAUCUAGGAGCAUUUGUUUCAUUUUGAUCAUGUCAUCCUAAUCAUUAGGCAUAAUUAGGUUCAUUAUACAGGUCUUAUUUCCCUGAGACUACAGUGGAACAGACCGAAGAAUUUUAGAUCUUAUCUCCCUGAGAUUGCAGCGGAGCAGAUUGAAGAUAGUAAUCCUAUCUCCCUGAGAUUACAGUGGAGCGGAUUAAAAUGAAGGAUCUUAUCUCUCUGAAGUUACAGCAGAGUAGAUCGUGUCAGGUCUUAUUUCCCUGAGAUUACAGUGGAACAGACCGAAGAAUUUCAGAUCUUAUCUCCCUGAGAUUACAGCGGAGCAGAUUGAAGCUAGUAAUCCUAUCUCCCUGAGAUUACAGUGGAGCGGAUUAAAAUGAAGGAUCUUAUCUCUCUGAAGUUACAGCAGAGUAGAUCGCGUUAGGUCUUAUUUCCCUGAGAUUACAGUGGGACAGACCGAAGAAUUUCAGAUCUUAUCUCCCUGAGAUUACAGCGGAGCAGAUUGAAGCCAGUAAUUCUAUCUCUCCGACGUUACGGAGUGGGUCGAAGCGCCAAUGCCUAUACCCCAAAAGUUGCUGCAAAGAAGAUUGAAGCUACAAGUCGGAUCUUGUUGAAGUGCAGUAGAGUGGAUUGAAGUGACAAGACACAGUAGACUAGAAUAAAGCUACUUGAAGAGGAGAAGCAUCAAAGAAGUCAAGACUCGGCGGGACCGGGCAAAAUUGGUUUUUUUUUAGUCUUUGCUCUGUUCUUGUUACACGACAACGAGCAAAGAGGGGCAGCUGUAGAACCCAAUUUUGCCCAGACCCGGACCCAAGAACCAAAACCAAUUAACUCACCCAACUAGCCUAACCCGGAACCCAAUUACAAACAGACCCAAUUACCAUUAACCUAACCUACCCAACCCAUUACAGAACAGGCCCAAACCCGAGGCCCAAUGUCUUAGCCCAGUAAGCUAACAGCCAAAACUAGGGUUUCAGAAAGUCUGAAACCCUAGCGCCGCACCUAGUACUGCCGCCGCAUGUCCCAUCGGCCACUUGCCCCAGACCUACCGCCACUCCUCUGGUAGCCACCAACUCCACCGCCAUCAUCACAUCACCUGCAAAGAAGAUGG
rnacentral:lncRNA from 1 species